rnacentral:rRNA from 1 species
CCCACGCCGAAAGACCAAGGGUUCCUGCGCAACGUUAAUCGACGCAGGGUUAGUCGGUUCCUAAGGCGAGGCUGAAAAGCGUAGUCGAUGGGAAACAGGUUAAUAUUCCUGUACUUCUGGUUACUGCGAUGGAGGGACGGAGAAGGCUAGGCCAGCUUGGCGUUGGUUGUCCAAGUUUAAGGUGGUAGGCUGAAAUCUUAGGUAAAUCCGGGGUUUCAAGGCCGAGAGCUGAUGACGAGUCGUCUUUUAGAUGACGAAGUGGUUGAUGCCAUGCUUCCAAGAAAAGCUUCUAAGCUUCAGGUAACCAGGAACCGUACCCCAAACCGACACAGGUGGUCGGGUAGAGAAUACCAAGGCGCUUGAGAGAACUCGGGUGAAGGAACUAGGCAAAAUGGCACCGUAACUUCGGGAGAAGGUGCGCCGGCUAGGGUGAAGGAUUUACUCCGUAAGCUCUGGCUGGUCGAAGAUACCAGGCCGCUGCGACUGUUUAUUAAAAACACAGCACUCUGCAAACACGAAAGUGGACGUAUAGGGUGUGACGCCUGCCCGGUGCCGGAAGGUUAAUUGAUGGGGUUAGCGCAAGCGAAGCUCUUGAUCGAAGCCCCGGUAAACGGCGGCCGUAACUAUAACGGUCCUAAGGUAGCGAAAUUCCUUGUCGGGUAAGUUCCGACCUGCACGAAUGGCGUAACGAUGGCGGCGCUGUCUCCACCCGAGACUCAGUGAAAUUGAAAUCGCUGUGAAGAUGCAGUGUAUCCGCGGCUAGACGGAAAGACCCCGUGAACCUUUACUGUAGCUUUGCACUGGACUUUGAGCCUGCUUGUGUAGGAUAGGUGGGAGGCUUUGAAGCGUGGACGCCAGUUCGCGUGGAGCCAUCCUUGAAAUACCACCCUGGCAUGCUUGAGGUUCUAACUCUGGUCCGUAAUCCGGAUCGAGGACAGUGUAUGGUGGGCAGUUUGACUGGGGCGGUCUCCUCCUAAAGAGUAACGGAGGAGUACGAAGGUGCGCUCAGACCGGUCGGAAAUCGGUCGCAGAGUAUAAAGGCAAAAGCGCGCUUGACUGCGAGACAGACACGUCGAGCAGGUACGAAAGUAGGUCUUAGUGAUCCGGUGGUUCUGUAUGGAAGGGCCAUCGCUCAACGGAUAAAAGGUACUCCGGGGAUAACAGGCUGAUACCGCCCAAGAGUUCAUAUCGACGGCGGUGUUUGGCACCUCGAUGUCGGCUCAUCACAUCCUGGGGCUGAAGCCGGUCCCAAGGGUAUGGCUGUUCGCCAUUUAAAGUGGUACGCGAGCUGGGUUUAGAACGUCGUGAGACAGUUCGGUCCCUAUCUGCCGUGGACGUUUGAGAUUUGAGAGGGGCUGCUCCUAGUACGAGAGGACCGGAGUGGACGAACCUCUGGUGUUCCGGUUGUCACGCCAGUGGCAUUGCCGGGUAGCUAUGUUCGGAAAAGAUAACCGCUGAAAGCAUCUAAGCGGGAAACUUGCCUCAAGAUGAGAUCUCACUGGGAACUUGAUUCCCCUGAAGGGCCGUCGAAGACUACGACGUUGAUAGGCUGGGUGUGUAAGCGUUGU